CUUAAAACAAUUUUAUUACCUCCUAUGGGCAGACAUUUGCCUUGUGAGACACACCCACCCCCUCCAGAAGAGUCCAUUGUAAACAACUGGCUCCCCUUUUACAAGAGCUGAAAUCUUUAUGGUGUUUGGGAACGCUGAAACCAAAAGCUACACAGCUUAUUUCAAUCUUGUCUCUUGGCCAGGAAUGCUCACCCCUUGAUUUUUCUCCCUCUUUCUUUCUCACUAACUAUGCCUGAGGCAUGUUCUAGAAAACUAACAUUGGCAAGAGUUCUGUUCCCCCUUCCCAGCUUUAUUCCUGGGCAUGACAAACGGUGGGUCUUUUAGAAUUCCCCCUAUAGUUCCAGCGGACAGGUACUCCUCCUCCACUCUCCUCUGCCUUCACGGAGCUGGAGCCUUACUUCAAAGUCUUAGAUCUCCGACGGGAGGAGGUGCGAGUCAUUUCUGAUAAUUUGCUGCCGCGAUUGAAGCCUACAGGAUUGAAGCCUGACUGUUUGCCUGGCUCAUGGAGCCGUAAUGAGUCUCUACCCAAGUGCAUUACUAUAUAGGCAAGUGGACACUGCGUUAAUCCCAUUGCUCCAGACUUGCGCAGGUGUGGGGCCACGUGCAGCAUCCCGUUUCCAUCUUCACUUGGCUCCUUUAACAGACAUAAACAUAUUAAAAGAGUGAGAUUAGAAGAAAAAAUGGAGAGAAUAGACAGUGUCUUUUUCUCCUCAUUAAUAUGUGGCUAGAUGUGUUUAUGUGUAUUAUGUCACUUUUGCUCACUCAGAGUUGCAUUUUGGAAUUAUUUAGGAAUAUUUAAUAUCAUUCCCAUUGUCACAACUUACUUGAUCUAAGCAGGUUAAAACAAUUCUGGCCUAAACGGGAAUUACCCGUGCUCCAGCUAGGUUUCAAAAUGAGGAAGGCCUAGUUGAUUCAUAUGUAACUUCUAAAAAUUUCCUUGGCUUAUUAAUCAUGCUUCAAUUCUAUCAGAGGAAACGUUGCUUUUGCACCAUUACAAGCCUCCUUUCAGACUGUUCUCAUGCUUUUGGAGCCACAUAAAUUACCAUCUUGCUGUGCUCAUGGCUGGACUUGCAGUCAGGUGCUGCGGUGGGUCUGAGAAGGAAUAAGACCUGCUUCCUUCACUCAGAGGCUUCGAGUGCACGUAAACAAAGAGGUUGAAUAAAACGUGGGGAGCCCCUCACUGGACAUCUGAACAGGGCUGGGUGGGUCCCAAAGAACAGGCAGUCAGUUCUGACUGGGGUGGAGGCGGCCAGGAAAGUCUGCAGGAGGUGAGCUGGAGCCGAGCUUUGCGAAGACAUGCAGACGUUCACUGGUCGCCGGGGGAAGGGGGCAUCCAGAGGGGGAGCUGAUGGAGGCCCCACCUGGAACGGUCUCCCACCGGCUGGGCGACGUUGGGAGAGCCACUUCACUACUGUAGCCAAGUUUUCUCACCUGUAAACUGUAAUCCCUGCCUUGCAAAAUUGCUAGAAAGAUUAUAUGCGAGAAUAUACAUGAAAGCGCUUUGACAACUGAAAAAUACUCCUCAGAUGUAAUGCAUCCUUAGAGCACUAAAUGUUUUUCUAACUUUCAAAAGAGCUUGCUUAAUCUUUGAAGGUAACUGUGCCUAUGUGAUGGGGGAGUGUGUGUGUGUGUGUGUUCAUCUAAAACGGGCCGUGGGUAUGUUCGUUAGCCUAAGCUGCCGUCACAAGUAGAACCAAAAAUGUCUUAUGGUUUAAAUACAAUGGGAGUUAAUUUCUUGCUCUUGUGGGAGACUAAGGUGAGUGUCCCUAUCAGUGAGUGGCUUUCCUCCAAAGGGAUUCUAGCUGUGUGUCCAAAAACAAGAGCAAAGAGAUUCGGGGUCAAUAUCCCGCAGGCUACGGCCUCGGGAAGUGGUGUCUAACAUAUGUGCACACUCAUUUACACUGCAGGCAGCACUCGGACCUCUGCCCAGAGCAGAAAUCAGUAUAAACAGAUCACACACACACAUAGGUAAACCCGAGAAUAAUACUAGCUCCCCUUUUACAAAAGCAGUAAUGUGUACUAGGUUUAGGGCAGACGAAAACCUGUGAAAAUGGCCCCAGCAGAAAACGCCUUUUCUGAUUUUGCCUGUAUUAGCUUUAAAUCAGCCAGGAAAAGAAAGAGACGCCAAGAGAGAGCGAUCAGUGGGUGAGAAAACUGAAGGGAGAGGGCUCCUGCCCCUUGCCUUCCUGAGUUUUGUCCACGGGUCCUCCUUGAACAUCCAUUUCCGGUUGUUCGUUGCCACUUGAGCAAGUCUGUCCGGCCUCCCUUCCUUCAAGCAGCGCUGACCACCCAGGGCUCUAGCGGCAAGAAAAGAUCAUGUGUUUUCCUCUCUGCAUGAUGAAUAUGCCAGAUGAGCACGAGUCCCAGGAAUAUCAAUUAUUUAGGACGUAACUAGGUCACUAGAUCUAAGACAAAGGACAUGGCUGCAGCUCUUGCAUCUGCUUAAGUGGCGGACGGCCAUUUGAUAAACCUACCACCUUAAGAACACAGAUAUCUUUGAAAGAGACUCCAGCUUCUUGCAUUGCUCAGGCCCUCACCCCGUGUUGAGUGGAAAAGAAGACAAAAGCUACACCUUGCAGAAGGAAGGGGGAAACCCACAAAGAGGCCGGCCUGACAUUUAUCAGCGUGAGCUCUUUUUGUUUUGGUGACAUAACACACCUUGUCAGUUCCUGGCAGGCUUACUUUCUUGCUUGCCUGAAGUAACAACAAUGCCAGUUACUAGAAAUGCAGAAGCUAUAAAUGGUAACUGAUAAUAUUAUGCGUAUUUUUAAUGACUUGAAAACAUGUCUUCCGAAAACUGCGUUGGAGGCUCCAGUUCCAGUUCCGUAAGUCAAGGGGUGCUAAGAUUAAACCCGGCAAAUCCAUGCUUUCUUGGUCUGAGACACCUCCAGCAUCUGCCAAGCUUCUGGCUGAGUGCUAGGCAGCCUCUGUCCUUGUCUUUGAAACAGAAGUUUUGGGGAAGCCCCAGGAAGCUCAAACAGCUGGACUGGUCCUGAAGCGCAGCCAGGAUUCGGCUGUUGCUGGCGUUGGCCUCCUUGGCCUAAAUCUGUUUGGAGGCCGUUUGGCACUGUGGGCUGGAGUAAAUUCAGCAUUGGAAUGUCAUUGUUGACCCCUGACUACACAUAAAGAUGAGGCUUCAUUGAGAGUACCUACCUUCGAAUAUUGCAUGUAAGAACGUGAUAAAAACCGUUGCUCAUGGUGGCAUCAAUGACUUCAUUUAAGCCUUGGAGCUGGGUUUUCUCCAGAACCCAGAAAUACGUGUUUCCUUGGUAAACUGCUUGCUGUGGAGAGCCUUCUGAGAUCCAGUCUCUGUUUUGAGAGUUAGUGGGAAGUAUCAAAAAGUUCCGGCCUUGGCCAAGGAAGCCUCUUACUUUCUCGACAGUGAAUUUCUGGCCUGAAUGUCACCUUUGACUAAUUUGAUGUAGGAGGUCAUGUUAGGUAAGGUUUCUAACUGACCUGUAUGUUUGCUCUGCACCCUGUGCCCACCUCUGACAGCACGGCGCUGAUGCGAUUUUUCCUUUCUGACGGCUCCUUAGGAUCCCUGCCUCAGCCUGAUCACCCUACCUAUGUAUGUUCACACGGAAUAACCUCCUGUUUGGAUUUGCCAUGGUUUGAGAUGAUCAACUUGUCCAUUUGUUAGUAGAAUGAAGACUCUAGACACUUUAGACAUGGACAACAUUUCCACCAAGGUGAAACCGUUGUGUUUCUUCACCUUUAUAUAUGAGGUAAAUUUGGAUAUCUUGACACUAAAUUCCACUAAGGAGCUUUGCAGAGACUAUGGAGAUUUUUGGCUAGAAUGAAGUAGAGCAUUAAAUUACUUCUACUAGCCUUGAGAAAAUCAGAUAAAUGUCCUAUUCAGAAACAAUACAGGAAAAGUUUAACUUCCAUAAAAUUCACCCAGAAUUGAAAAUAUUUUGGCAUUUAAGAAAAUCAAAUUUUGUAACUCUUAGUGGUCUUUGAGGGGAAGAAACUAGUUGAGGAUGUUCAGGCCUCCUUUUCCUCUGUCUGCUGCUGCCUUUUUGGCAUGUCACUGUAAGUCAACGAAAAGUUGAUGGAAUUCACGCUCAAGCUAUUUUGCUAUUUGCUAGCAACUCUGGAAAAAAAUCAGUGGGGAAAAUAUUUGAAAUCAGUGAUUUAAAUAAAGAUGUUAGAUUAUAUGGAUUUAAUUUAGUCAUUUCAUCCCUGACUUCUUCAGUCGGGUAGGAAUCAGCGUGGCCAAAGAGCCUGUCCUGCCUUUAAGGAACCCUCAAGACUCCUCUUUGUGACCCACACCCCAGCACAGUGGACACGUGGGGACCCCACAGGCCACGCCUGCUGUCAAAUCGCCCCUCUCAUCUCUUCCUCUGCUGCUCCUUAGACAUCAUCCCAUCUGUAUGUCUCAUCUCCCCAGUUAAAUGUGAAGUCUCUUGAGGUCAAGACUUGUCUCCCAUCUGUUCUCUCCUGUACUAUUUAUCAGAGUCUCAUAUGUAGACUUCUCGUUCUAAAAAUGUUUUUUUGAUGAACAGGUGAAGUUGGAAACUGAUGAAAUUCUCCCAAACUCCUUGCUUUCCUUUUUACCCCAUAUUCGUAUCUCACACUUUGUCCUUUAAAAAAGAGCAUAUUACUUUUUGUUUUCCUGAUUAGUAGAAAUGGGAAAAUUCAAAAAAAUAUGAAGCAAAGCAAUAAAAAAAUCAGCCACAAACUUAUGCCCAAAUAAUAUCCACCAUUAGUAUUUGGCAUGUUUCCUCGCAGUGCUUUUUCUGUGCAUGUGUGUCUGUGUGUGUGUACACACACACAAUUGGGGGGCGUCUGUUUUACUGCUUGCAAACAUACUGCAUUAGUUUUCCAUGCCACUUUUUUCACUUAACAGUUACAAUAUAACAUUUCCCCCAAGUCUUAAGACAUUUUUGGUUAUAUUCUAUUCCAUCAUGUGACUACACCUUACUGUGUUUAUUAGUUAGGCUCCCUUUCAAGUUGCAUGUCCAGCUCAACCUAACCGAAGCAAAACAAGAAGGGGGACUAUUUAUUAUAAGGCUCUAUAAAGCAUGACAGAAAUGAGUUUAACCCAAGUUAUAUGGUGGUAGGCCCCAAAGACAGGUGACUGUGUGGAGCUGUAGGAAGAGAAGAUCUCUGUCUGGGACACUGGAUAAGGCUUCUCAGGGGCAAUGGAUUUGAUCUGGGCACAAAGGAGAGGUAAGAGUGAUAAUGACCUAAAUGUUUUAAGCGCUGCCCAUGGGGUACACUAUCCUAAUCAUUUGACAUGGAUUGUCUCAUUGACUCUUCAAAAUCUUUGCCCUUUUCACUUAACAAGCACGGUGUAAUAUUUUCCCCAUGUCUUAAGACAUUUUUGGUUAUAUUGCAUCAUUUAAAUUCUAUAUAUUCCAUCAUAUGAAUACAUCCUAAUUUAUUUAUUAACUAGACUCCUUCUAAGUUGCAGAAUCAACUCAAGCUACCUGAAGCAAAACAAGCUUAUUACCUUUAUUCUAAGACUUUCGAGAAAACCGAGGCCUAGAGAGGGUAUGUAAACUCGCCCAUCUUCAAUUGGGAUUUUGACAUGCGGAAAGGAGCAGUGGGGCCGAGUUGGGUAAUGGGGCAGAGGCAGGCAAUUACCCAGGUGGAUAGCCUCACCCUCGGCAUCGGUAGCCACAUAUGUCCACACAGGGUCACAGUGAGUCUGCUUCUUGGGGUACAUUUGGUUAGGACCUGCCAGAUGGAGAAGACAGGAAAUAACUGCCUUUCACCGUGGCUCUUUAAUGUGGUUCCUUAAAGAGCCAUCUGUGCUCCCCACCGUAAGGCACCGCGGAUUUCAAGUCAUCUCUUGAAUCUUCCGUGUGACAGUUUCUCCUUUAACGGCUCCUUAGUCAAAGAUCAAAGGCCACCAGACAUUUUAACUUGGAGCCAACUUUUAGUAAAGGAUUUCUGCAAAGAUGGGUCAUUCAGAUGACUUUAGAGAAAUAUACACACAUACGAAAUGAAAAUUUUAGGUCAUUUCCAUCUUUUAAAAUGUGAUACAUCUGUUAUAAAAAUAAGAGUGGUAGGCAAACUGACAUGCUGUGACGAGCUGGUUCUCCUCACUAUCUACCUAAGACAAAAGCAUUUGUCCAGGACAAAUGGGUUUAGGACGUCGCAGAGAGCCCUAAACACUCUGCUGGCUCAUUCCUGCCUCCUUGCAUCCUCACUCACCAUGUAGAUGGGAAAGGUCUGCUUUCUUAGUUUCCCCCGGCCCACUUGUUGCAUGCAGGGAGCCACCAACGGAAGGCAGCCGCCCCGGGCUGUUGGCCGGCUGCAGUGGGUCUGCCUUUGAAGUCCUACCCUGCAGUUAUCUCUCAUUGCGCCAGGCAGGCUGUAAGCAAGCCCAGUGCAUGCAGCUGUCACCAUUUAAGCCAGCAGGCGUUUGAAGCUGUGCCGCCCCCCACCCCUGUGAGGGAAGCCAGAAUAGAACAAAGUGUGGUGUUCCCAUGAAAUCGUUGGAAUGCUUGAUAAGAGGGGCACAGUUGAGAGCUGACUCCUCACGCUGCUGUUGAGCACAUGUUCUAAAUGAGGGGCCUCAUCUCUCAGAAGAAGAUGGUCUGUCAAAGCAAGCGGCUGCCAGUGGGCCCUGCGUUUGCCUGGACUUCCCAAACCUCUCGUCAGAACGCUGCCUUCUGCAGGGGUUUCUCUGCACAUGCCACACAUGGAGACCUGGUGCUUGGCAUCUGGAGAGCAGCUCCGUGUGACAGAUCUACUCACAGGACCCGGCGGUGGCAGGGCCGCGAUGCCCUUGAGCACCCGACUCGUGCUUUCACUGACCAGCUGUCCUGCUUGCUGAGCCACCUCGCUGCCGGCUUCAUGGAGGAGCCGAGCGACCACGAGCAAAUUGCUCAUUUUACACACAAAAAUGCAGACAGUAGGAGAGCCUGUGUAAGCUGAGUUACAAAUUGCCGUCAGGCCUGGGUGGGGAAUUGGCAGGCACUGGUGCAGCUUCACUUCUCUGCUGCUGGGAGGAUGGGACGCGACCUGUUCCUCUUGCUGGAAGGCCCGCAGAGGAAUCCCUGGUAUGAGAAUUGUCGGCCUCUCUGCACCUGCAGACACCACGUGGCUGGCCCCUCGGUGGCCCGGGAGAUUACAUAAAGGGCUGGAAAGCUCACAGUCUUUGUGAAGGAUAAACAUCUUCCUUCUGCCACCAAAGUGGCAGCAAUGUGGUUCCAGGAUGGGAGGUUUCAAAACAAAACUAGGCCAGUGCUGUUGGCAUGGCAUCGCCUCGGAGGAGAUGCCAUCAGCUCUCAUCAGACACCAAUUUGCUCGUCUGUGGAUUACCCAGACCUUUAUCCUUCCCUUCCUAUUUGGCAGCAUCAAACCGGACAAAAUUCAAACCGGACAAUUUUUCUAUUUGUAAGCACUUUAUAGAAAAGGUUUGGUUGCAGAAAUGAUUGAAGCUACUGACCAAAAUUAAGUUUUCAGUGUGCCCGUGAGUGGCUUUGCCAUCUUCGAGAGAAGUCCGGCAGGAUCAAAGUCUCGGCCAAGUUUCUCCCAGGUCUCCCCACUCCUUUCAGCUUAAGCCACUGUGAAGCCAAGAAGAGGGUAAGACCCAUUCCUAUGGUGGCAUUUCUGGUCUUCCGAGGAUCCCGUGUCCUCUCUCAAAGCUCUGGGCAGCCUGAGGGACUGGCAGGAUGCUCUCCCACAAAGUGUAUCACAGUCUCGGUGAAAUAGUCUUCAGAGUCGAGCAGUGAGGAUUAGGAUCAGCCAGGAUGAAUAAUUCUCUGAGCCUCUUGACCUCAUUUUUCAUACAAGGGGUUGAGGAGGCAGCAAGACUAUUUCUUGGGAGAAAUGUCAUGAAGACUAUGUGUCCCCCUUAAGACUCAUACUCUUUAUUGACGUGGCGAAAUGAAUUCAGAAGAGGACUAUGUUGUGCUUUGGUGGGCUCUACGCUUCAAUCUCUCAUCACACACCUCAGUUCCAUUGGUUAUGUCAGACUGGGCCAGGAGAGUUUGGGGAAAAUCUGGGUUCAAAUUCUGGAUUUGCCAUUUGAUGAUGUUGCUGAUCCUUUCUGAGACAUAGUACCUUGUCUCUAAAACUGGGCCAAUCCUAUCCACCAGAGAGAGCUGGUGAGUGAGAUACAUCAGAGCCGGUAAGCGCUCAGCACCAUGGUGGACACAUAAUGAGCACCCAACAAGCAGAGGCUUCUGCUUUCAUCCCCUACUUCCCCAGGCCCAAGAUCCAGGAAGAAAAGGCACGGAAGCAUGGGGUGUAGUCAUCUGAGAAAUAAACCUGAAGGCCAAGAGGAAGCAGGAGACCGGGCUGAGAGGACAGGGACAGGCGCUGCUCCUUAAGCCACCCACUGACCUCCUGGGCUUGACACCCAGCUGGUGCCUUUGAAGCAGAGACUAAACAGGAGACUCAACAGAGGCCGCACGAGCGGUGGUAUUCAUGAGGGACAGUCAGCUGUGGGAUCUGGACACUCAGCGCUGGGAGCGUGAGGUUCCCGCAGGCUGUUCAGUCCUCUGGGGAGGGGGUACAAACAGGGGAUGGGGCAGGCCAGAAACUCACCCCUGGGGAAAUGGGGUGUGAGGUAGGACUCAUUUGUAGGAGAAAAAGGGCGGGAACCUAACUAUCGGGGAAGACAAGACAGAGCCAUUCUGAUCCUACUAAUGACCUAGGACUUCCGAAUUAAAACACAGACACACACACAACUAUGAGAUGAGGGAGAUACGGCUUCACUAUAAUACGUAGGAAAAAAAUGGGGGAUUUUAUUUGACUCAGUACAAAUCGACAGUGUGAUGUGGAUGGCACUGCUGGUCCCGCUUCAUUGGGGUCAACAGAGACAGCGAGGCACGGCGAUGGGUGAGCAUUGAGGAGGGUGAGGGGACGGGAAACGGAACCAUUGGGAAAGUGUUGGAGGGAGUGGGGAGGUCUAAAAAAGAAAAGAAAAAGACAGCGAGAGCACAUAAUAAGUACCUUCAAACAUGAAGGCGAGCGUGUCAGUCAGGGCUCGUGGUUGAUACAGCAGAAACUGACUCGGGCUAACUCACCCAAGAAAGGAGUUUGGUGGAAGCCUAUGGGAUGAUUCGCAGGAUCAUCAGCAGACGGAGAGCCUGACGGGGAAAACACUCGAGGGCCAAGUGAGGCUGGCGGCAGAGGAAGCACCGCGGCCACGCCACAAGAGCCAUCCAGCCAGGGUGCCACCCUGGUGCCACCUCCACGGCACACCAUGGCCGCUGCCUCUGGACCCUCUCUGCUUCCUCGGAUGUUCUUGGACUGGGCCUGUCCCACUUCCUCCCUCACAUGGAAAAUCUUCGUCGGAGCUCCGAGUUGGUUACGCGGCCCAUCCCCAGCUUCUCUCUGGCGAUGAGUAGAGGGAAUGCCCAGUCCCCUUCAGCUUCCAUGGGGGGAAGUAGGGCCCUGCAUCCCUCUAAGAUGCACACAAUGAAGCAGAAUUCCAAACGAAGGACACUUGGGGUCCUGGGCAGGCAUGAACAAACCAAAAAGCCAAGCCAGCAAGUGUACCCUCCGAAGCAGCAAUAUGUGAUUACUUGAAUAAAACCCGAAAAAGCAGGAAAAGAUCGAUGGGUAUAUGCAACUGGGAAGCAGAGAUUCACUUGAUUUCAAAAUAUGUUUCUAAUGUUCAAAACUGGGCCAACACAAUUGAGUUGCUUUUGGUGGUAGUGAGUUCCCCAUUCCUGGCAGAAUGCAAGAAGGGGGUGGUGACCACUUUGGUGGAAGUUUUCCUCUUUAAUAAUAAAUUUCUAGUAACAAACCAA